ensembl:lncRNA
CCGCAGUCAGUCCGUAACCUGGUCUGGGAACUUGGGGCUAGUCCACGCCAAUAGAGGAACAAUGCCUCCUCAGUUCAAGUCCAACAAAAGACCUGGCGAACUUGUUUGAAUUUCAGAGCACGUCCUUUCUUUCACAGAGAGGACUGCCCCCUCCCGAACACCCUUCAUGAAAAAAAAAGAAAGAAAGAAAAGGAAAGAAAGGGGGGGAAAACAUGCCGACCUUCUCUGCUCAACAGUGCACUUUUCUAUUUGGUGCUGCAGACAAAUAGGUUAUGGGAAACUUCUCAACCCCUCCUCUCUCUCUCUCCCCCCCUCUCACUGGCUCUCGCUUAUACGGUAGCUGUCGUUCUCGUGCGCUUGGACUGUGCUCUUGUGAGAAUCAGAGCCGCUGAGACACGCGUAAUGAACUGAGUAUUAGCGGCAAUUUUAAAUCGAAAGCGCUCUGUGCACGCCGGUUUCUUACCAACAGCAGGAGUUGCAUCUGGUCACGUCGACUUCGGCAUAAUAAUAAAAAAAAACAACAAAAAAAAAAACCUUUGCUCAAGGCUGAAGGAAAAUGUGACCAUCACUUACCCACUGGAAUUGAGCAGGAGGAAACUGGCAUCAAUUUUAUCAAAUGAUUAACCAACAUGAAGUGAGUCGCAUGCACACUUUUGUGUGUGCUUUUCUUCAGACGUAUGACAACCUAGCCUGGGCAUAAUUUGUAAGG